rnacentral:rRNA from 1 species
UACAGAGGUCCCAAGCGUUGUUCGGAUUCAUUGGGCGUAAAGGGUGCGUAGGCGGUCGCGCAAGUCGGAUGUGAAUCUUGGGGCUCAACCCUGAAACUGCAUUCGAUACUGCGUGGCUUGAGUACUGGAGAGGAGACUGGAAUUUACGGUGUAGCAGUGAAAUGCGUAGAUAUCGUAAGGAAGACCAGUGGCGAAGGCGAGUCUCUGGACAGUUACUGACGCUGAGGCACGAAGGCCAGGGAGCAAACGGG